AACGAACGCUGGCGGCAUGCCUAACACAUGCAAGUCGAACGAUGCCUUCGGGCCUAGUGGCGCACGGGUGCGUAACGCGUGGGAAUCUGCCCUUGGCUUCGGAAUAACAGUUAGAAAUGACUGCUAAUACCGGAUGAUGUCCCCCUGAGAGAUCUUGGGGACCAAAGAUUUAUCGGCCAGGGAUGAGCCCGCGUAGGAUUAGGUAGUUGGUGGGGUAAAGGCCUACCAAGCCGACGAUCCUUAGCUGGUCUGAGAGGAUGAUCAGCCACACUGGGACUGAGACACGGCCCAGACUCCUACGGGAGGCAGCAGUGGGGAAUGUUGGACAAUGGGGGGAACCCUGAUCCAGCAAUGCCGCGUGAGUGAUGAAGGCCUUAGGGUUGUAAAGCUCUUUUACCAGGGAUGAUAAUGACAGUACCUGGAGAAUAAGCUCCGGCUAACUCCGUG
rnacentral:rRNA from 1 species